rnacentral:rRNA from 1 species
UACGUAGGGUGCGAGCGUUGUCCGGAAUUACUGGGCGUAAAGAGCUCGUAGGUGGUUUGUCGCGUUGUUCGUGAAAACUCACAGCUCAACUGUGGGCGUGCGGGCGAUACGGGCAGACUGGAGUACUGCAGGGGAGACUGGAAUUCCUGGUGUAGCGGUGGAAUGCGCAGAUAUCGGGAGGAACACCAGUGGCGAAGGCGGCUCUCUGGGCCUUUCCUGACGCUGAGGAGCGAAAGCGUGGGGAGCGAACAGG